GACGAACCGUGCGAACGUUAUUCGGAAUCACUGGCUUAAAGCGCGUGUAGGCGGGCCACCGCGUCGGCUGCUGAAUCCCCGGCUCAACCGGGAACGGGCACCGAUACGGGCGGCCUCGAGGGGGGGGGUAGGGGCCUGGAACUUCCGGUGGAGGCGGUGGAAAUGCGUUGAGAUCGGAAGGAACGCCCGUGGCGAAAGCGAGGCCCUGGACCUUACUGACGCUGAGACGCGAAGCCAGGGAGCGAACGGG
rnacentral:rRNA from 1 species